rnacentral:miRNA from 1 species
AUUGCCUCUGUUCUAACACA